rnacentral:rRNA from 1 species
GACCGAAUGCCGAUCUCGAAAACCUGUCCCAGUUCGGACUGGAGUCUGCAACCCGACUCCACGAAGUUGGAUUCGCUAGUAAUCGCGCAUCAGCCAUGGCGCGGUGAAUACGUUCCCGGGCCUUGUACACACCGCCCGUCAAGCCAUGGGAGCCGGGGGCGCCUGAAGUCCGGGACCGCGAGGACCGGCCUAGGGCGAAACUGGUGACUGGGGCUAAGUCGUAACAAGGUACC